UACGAAGGGGGCUAGCGUUGCUCGGAAUCACUGGGCGUAAAGGGCGCGUAGGCGGAUCUUUAAGUCGGGGGUGAAAGCCCAGGGCUCAACCCUGGAAUUGCCUUCGAUACUGGAGAUCUUGAGACCGGAAGAGGUAAGUGGAACUGCGAGUGUAGAGGUGAAAUUCGUAGAUAUUCGCAAGAACACCAGUGGCGAAGGCGGCUUACUGGUCCGGUUCUGACGCUGAUGCGCGAAAGCCAGGGGAGCAAACGGG
rnacentral:rRNA from 1 species